CUACGGGCCGCUCCAGUGGGGAAUAUUGGACAAUGGGGGAAACCCUGAUCCAGCAAUGCCGCGUGUGUGAAGAAGGCCUGCGGGUUGUAAAGCACUUUCGGUUGGGAGGACUGCUUCUAGCACUAAUAUUGUUGGAAGUUGACGUUACCUUCAGAAGAAGCACCGGGUAACUCCGUGCCAGCAGCCGCGGUAAUACGGAGGGUGCAAGCGUUAAUCGGAAUUACUGGGCGUAAAGCGCGCGUAGGCGGCUAGAUCAGUCGGGUGUGAAAGCCCCGGGCUUAACCUGGGAACUGCAUCCGAUACUGUCUAGCUUGAGUACAGGAGAGGAGAGUGGAAUUCCACAUGUAGCGGUGAAAUGCGUAGAUAUGUGGAGGAACACCAAUGGCGAAGGCAGCUCUCUGGCCUGAUACUGACGCUGAGGUGCGAAAGCGUGGGGAGCAAAUAGGAUUAGAUACUCCUGUAGUC
rnacentral:rRNA from 1 species